rnacentral:lncRNA from 1 species
CUCAUUUUUCUACUGCUCGUGGAUUUACGCGCACGUUGGAACCGAAGAGAGCUCUGUUGUUGCAAUGUUCAGCCCACAAGAGCUUACUGGUGAAGGAAUGGGACAAGACCCAUCUUUAUGCAAAGCCAGCGUUACAGUAAUGUUCCAGGUAUUCCUGAUGACAGUCUGCCUCUAUCUUACAGUACUACUAACCAAUAACCUGCUUGGCUCAAAGGGCCAGCACCUUCUCUCUAAAGCCCAAGAGGAGUUUGAGGAAAACUAGGUGUCUGUGUUCACUCCAGGCUGAAGUUACAGGUCUGAGCAAAUAAGGUGUAUAAAAAAUGGAAUCUGUCUUGGAGGACAUCAGAAGGUGAAUUUUCCAAGUUCUUGGACAACCUAGCUGUUGAAAAGCUUUCUGGGUUUGGGGGGUAUUUCAGAUGUACCUUAAAGUGUUAGCAGACACAGAUUAAGACACUGGGAGCCAAUGAAACAGCAGUUGAGGGUUUGCUGUGUAUCACAUUUCUGUAUUUUAUCACCCCCUUCCUGCAACAUUAUUUAUCUGGAAUCUACCUGCCCUUUUGUUUUUUAGAUACAAGGGCUUGGUUUUGUUACCCAGGCUGGUUUCAAGGCCAUAGCUUUAAGAGAUCCUCUCACCACAGAUUUCCAAAGUGCUGGGAUUGCAGGUGUGAUUCAUGGCACCCAGACUUUGCUGCCUUUCUUACAUGAUCCAGGCCCAGAACCCAAACUCAGGCACUGUAUAGAUGACCACUUUCGUAAACUACUGACCUAGCUUGUUGCCAAUUGUUGAUUGAACUUCCCAUAACUCCACUUCGUGUCUGUUCCUCUGUAUACAGCCACCUUCUGUUCCCGUCAUGAGCCUUUAGGUCUCCAUUUGCAUAUUGCAAAUACUAUGUUCCAUGUAGGUAGCUCAUUCAGGGCCUUGCUCUUCACUUCAAAAAAGGUUCCCUUGAGGACUGGCUGUCAAUUUGUGUUGCUGUGUUGGUUGUUGAUGAAAAUAAUAAAAUGAUUGAUUACAUAGUCCUGUUUAAAAAAAAAAAAA